GUUGGUUGCACCAGAAGUAGGUAGCUUAACCUUCGGGAGGGCGCUUACCACGGCGUGGUCAAUGACUGGGGUGAAGUCGUAACAAGGUAGCCGUAGGUGAACCUGCAGAAGGAUCA
rnacentral:rRNA from 1 species